rnacentral:rRNA from 1 species
AUUGAACGCUGGCGGCAGGCCUAACACAUGCAAGUCGAGCGGAUGAAGGGAGCUUGCUCCUGGAUUCAGCGGCGGACGGGUGAGUAAUGCCUAGGAAUCUGCCUGGUAGUGGGGGAUAACGUCCGUAAACGGGCGCUAAUACCGCAUACGUCCUGAGGGAGAAAGGGGGGGAUCUUCGGACCUCACGCUAUCAGAUGAGCCUAGGUCGGAUUAGCUAGUUGGUGGGGUAACGGCCUACCAAGGCGACGAUCCGUAACUGGUCUGAGAGGAUGAUCAGUCACACUGGAACUGAGACACGGUCCAGACUCCUACGGGAGGCAGCAGUGGGGAAUAUUGGGCAAUGGGCGAAAGCCUGAUCCAGCCAUGCCGCGUGUGUGAAGAAGGUCUUCGGAUUGUAAAGCACUUUUAGUUGGGAGGAAGGGCAGUAAGUUAAUACCUUGCUGUUUUGACGUUACCAACAGAAUAAGCCCCGGCUAACUUCGUG